AGUGGCGGACGGGUGAGUAACGCGUGGGCAACCUACCCACACAGGGGACGAACAGUUGGUAAACGACUGCUAAUACCGCAUAGGCGCACAGCUUCGCAUGAAGCAGUGUGGAAAACCGAGGUGGUGUGGGAUGGGCCCGCGUCUGAUUAGCUGGUUGGCGGGGUAACGGCCCACCAAGGCGACGAUCAGUAGCCGGCCUGAGAGGGUGGACGGCCACAUUGGGACUGAGACACGGCCCAAACUCCUACGGAAGGCAGCAG
rnacentral:rRNA from 1 species